UGUGGUGACGAUGGCGAGAAGGAUACACCUGUUCCCAUGUCGAACACAGAAGUUAAGCUUCUUAGCGCCGAGAGUAGUUGGGGGAUCGCUCCCUGCGAGGGUAGGACGUUGCCAUGCGAUUAUUCCGA
rnacentral:rRNA from 2 species